CAGUCGAACGCUGAGCUUGGUGCUUGCACUGGGUGGAUGAGUGGCGAACGGGUGAGUAAUACGUGAGUAACCUGCCCUUGACUCUGGGAUAAGCCUGGGAAACUGGGUCUAAUACUGGAUACGACAUGUCACCGCAUGGUGGUGUGUGGAAAGGGUUUUACUGGUUUUGGAUGGGCUCACGGCCUAUCAGCUUGUUGGUGGGGUAAUGGCUCACCAAGGCGACGACGGGUAGCCGGCCUGAGAGGGUGACCGGCCACACUGGGACUGAGACACGGCCCAGACUCCUACGGGAGGCAGCAGUGGGGAAUAUUGCACAAUGGGCGAAAGCCUGAUGCAGCGACGCCGCGUGAGGGAUGACGGCCUUCGGGUUGUAAACCUCUUUCAGCACGGAAGAAGCGAAAGUGACGGUACGUGCAGAAGAAGCGCCGGCUAACUACGUGCCAGCAGCCGCGGUAAUACGUAGGGCGCAAGCGUUGUCCGGAAUUAUUGGGCGUAAAGAGCUCGUAGGCGGUUUGUCGCGUCUGCUGUGAAAGCCCGGGGCUUAACCCCGGGUGUGCAGUGGGUACGGGCAGACUUGAGUGCAGUAGGGGAGACUGGAAUUCCUGGUGUAGCGGUGAAAUGCGCAGAUAUCAGGAGGAACACCGAUGGCGAAGGCAGGUCUCUGGGCUGUUACUGACGCUGAGGAGCGAAAGCAUGGGGAGCGAACAGGAUUAGAUACCCUGGUAGUCCAUGCCGUAAACGUUGGGCACUAGGUGUGGGGAACAUUCCACGUUUUCC
rnacentral:rRNA from 1 species